AUGGAGGCUGCUCUGGUGAGUGCAGCUACCGGGGCAUUGAAACCUGUCCUGGGGAAGCUGGUCACUCUUCUCGGUGACAAGUACAAGCGUUUCAAUAGGGUGCGCAAGGAUAUCAAGUCCCUCACCGACGAACUCAGGACCAUGCAUAAUUUUCUCCUCAAGAUGUCGGAAGUGGAGGAUCUUGAUUGGCAGGAUAAGGUGUGGAUGAAUGAGGUGCGGGAGCUUUCCUAUGACAUGGAGGACGCCAUCGACGACUUCAUGUUGUGUGUCGAUGAUAAAGACACUAAGCCAGAUGGCAUCUUGGAGAUCAUCAAGAGCUCGCUUGGGAAGAUGAAGGCUCGCCGUCGGAUUGGUAGCGAGAUCCAAGAUUUGAAGAAACAAAUCAUCGAGGUGGGCGACAGGAAUGCAAGGUACAAGGCUCGUGAGGCUUUCUCCAAGGCUAGUAAUGCAACUGUUGACCACAGAGCUCUUGCGAUCUUUGAGCAUAAAUCAAAGCUUGUUGGAAUUGACGAACCAAAGGCUGAGAUAAUCCAAAUCUUGACACAAGAGGAUGGAUGUGUGUCAACACAAAUGCAGUUAAAGGUGGUUUCCAUAGUUGGAUCAGGAGGGAUGGGCAAGACAACUCUUGCAAACCAAGUGUAUCUAGAGCUCAAAGAGAAAUUCGAGUGUCAGGCUUUCUGUUCAGUCUCACAACACCCAGACAUGAUAAAAGUCCUGAGAACUAUUCUCAGUGAGGUGGCUAAGAAAGAUUAUGCCAUCACAGAAGCUAUGGAUGCUCAACAACUGAUCUUCAAGAUCUCCAGAUUUCUAGAGAACAAAAGCUAUUUUAUCGUUGUCGAUGAUAUAUGGAAGAAUGAUUCAUGGGAUGUCAUCAAGUGCGCAUUCCCCGUAACCAGUUGUGGCAUAAUAAUCACCACUACUCGUAGAAAGGAUGUCGCUUGUUCAUGUCGUUCAUCAUUCAAUGGUCAUAUUUAUAACAUAAGACCUCUUGAUAUGAUGCAUUCGAGACAGUUAUUUCUCAUGCGACUAUUCAACUAUAGAAAUGGCUUCCCUUCACACCUUGAAGAGGUUUCUAGUCAAAUCUUGGAAAAAUGUGGUGGCUUACCUUUAGCGAUCAUUGCUAUAUCUAGUUUGUUGGCAAAUAGAGGAAGUACAAAGGAUCAGUGGGAUGAAGUGGAAAAUUCGAUUGGUUGUGCACUGGAAAGAAAUGAUACUGUUGAUAGAAUGAUGAAGAUUAUGUCACUUAGUUACUUUGAUCUUCCUCCUGAUCUCAAGACUUGUUUAUUGUAUCUGAGUAUAUUUCCAGUGGGCUAUGUUAUUGACAAGCAAGAUCUCAUACGAAGAUGGACUGCUGAAGGAUUCAUUCAUAAAAACUCCAGAUAUACGGUACAUGAGGUAGGUGAUAUGUAUUUUAAUGAGCUCGUGGAUAGGAGUUUAAUCCAACCCGUGAAGACUGAAGAGCAUGGUAAGGUGAACGGUUGUCGAGUUCACAACACAAUUCUUGAUUUCAUCAUCUCCAGGUCCAUCGAAGAGAACUUUGUUACUUUAGUUGGUGUUCCAAAUCUUAAAAUUGAUACAGAAAGCAAAGUUCGCCGGCUCUCUCUCCAUGUUGAAGAUGCAGAAAAUUCUACCAAUCGGCUCUCUCUCCAUGUUGAUGAUAAAAGGAAUUCUAUUCCACUGACGAGCCUAGAGUUGUCUAAUGUCCGAUCACUCACUGUGUUUGGGCAAUCAUGGAAAAUCCCUUCAGCGGUGGAGUUUCGUCAUUUGCGCGUUUUUGGCUAUGGAUCGGGUUGCCGCCAUAUGAAAAACCAUCAUCUUGCAAAUAUGGGGAGCUUCUUUCAACUGAGGUACCUGAACCUGAGUUGGACAGGAAUAAGCGAGCUUCCAGAUCAAAUCAGACAAGCACGGUGCCUAGAGUUGUUGGACCUAAGAGGCACCAGGAUAUUUGAAUUACCAGCAACUAUUAUUAAUCUCAGAAAAUUGGUUCAUCUAUUUAUCGACACUGGUGUUAAAUUUCCUGAUGGAAUUGAGAAGAUGCAGGCACUGGAAACGUUGAAACAGGUCGGAAUCCUCAAACAACCAUUUAACUUCCCGCAAGAACUUGCCAAGCUACGGAAUUUAAGGAAGUUAUCCCUUCACUUUCAUGGCGAUUCUGCUACUGAGGCUAAGAAUGAGUUCAAGAAUGUUAUUGCUUCUUGUCUUCAUAAGCUAGGAAACCUACGUUCUCUUACUGUUUGGAGUGGGGGAAGCUUCUUACAGGGACCUUUGUGCCCUGUUCCUCUCAGCCUCAAGAAACUUGUGGCUUGGAAUUCAACCAUCUGUCGGGGCCCGGCUUGGGUGGGCUCUCUCGUCAACCUACAACGGUUACACCUUGAAGUGGAGGGAGUCAGUAAGGGAGAUCUCUGCAUCCUUGGAAGCUUACCUGCUCUACUUGUUUUGGAUCUGAUGGUAAGAGAAAAUCGUAAUCAUAGAAGUCUCAAGGUCGAUGGUGGAAUUGGGUUCCGAAGCUUGAGGCAGUUUUAUUAUGAUAUCAGGGAUGAAGCGAUGAAUCUGAUAUUUGCAGCAGGAUCCAUGCCAGAGCUAGAAACGCUCGAGAUUUCUUUUGACGCGGAUCAAACCGAGUCUCUGAAUACUAGUGGUGGUUUUGACUUUGGAAUCGAAAACCUUCCUUGCCUCAUUGCUCUCAGAUGUAGAGUAUAUCGCUGGCAGGAUAGAACAUUUCAGGCUGCAAAGGCUGCCAUGGAGAGAGUGGCCAGCACACAUCCCAACCAUCCUAGUAUAAUCGUUGAACCAGGGACGGAGCUGGUAUACGACCAGUGGUGCCAAAUGAACCCAAUGAAUUUUUCCAGUCUUCUCGAGAGUUUUCUAGUUGACUGA
rnacentral:rRNA from 1 species